UACGGAGGGUGCGAGCGUUGUCCGGAAUCACUGGGCGUAAAGGGCGCGUAGGUGGCGCGGCAGUCAACGGUGAAAGUUCGGGGCUCAACCCUGAAUCGGCCGUCGAUACUCCCGAGCUGGAGCACUGUAGAGGCUCAUGGAAUUCCGGGUGUAGCGGUGGAAUGCGUAGAGAUCCGGAAGAACACCGGUGGCGAAGGCGGUGAGCUGGGGCGAGU
rnacentral:rRNA from 1 species